UCCCUGGUGGCUCAGAUGGUAAAGCAUCUGCCUGCAAUGCGGGAGACCUGGGUUCAAUUCCUGGGUUGGGAA
rnacentral:tRNA from 1 species